CCUACGGGUGGCUGCAGUGAGGAAUAGUGGUCAAUGGACGCAAGUCUGAACCAGCCAUGCCGCGUGCAGGAAGACGGCGCUAUGAGUUGUAAACUGCGUUUGUACGAGGGUAAAUCACGAUACGUGUAUCGGGUUGAAAGUAGCGUACGAAUAAGGAUCGGCUAACUCCGUGCCAGCAGCCGCGGUAAUACGGAGGAUUCAAGCGUUAUCCGGAUUUAUUGGGUUUAAAGGGUGCGUAGGCGGUUCGAUAAGUUAGAGGUGACAUCCCGGGGCUCCACUCCGGCACUGCCUCUGAUACUGUCGGGCUACAUUUUAGUUGCGGUAGGCGGAAUGUAUGUUGUAGCCGU
rnacentral:rRNA from 1 species